GAUAUGGCUCAGGAUGAACGCUAGCGACAGGCUUAACACAUGCAAGUCGAGGGGCAUCAUGAGGUAGCAAUACCUUGAUGGCGACCGGCGCACGGGUGAGUAACGCGUAUGCAACCUGCCUGAUACCGGGGUAUAGCCCAUGGAAACGUGGAUUAACACCCCAUAGUACUUUUAUCCUGCAUGGGAUGUGAGUUAAAUGUUCAAGGUAUCGGAUGGGCAUGCGUCCUAUUAGUUAG
rnacentral:rRNA from 1 species